rnacentral:rRNA from 1 species
CGAACGUCGGGCGAGCAGUCGGGGGAAUCAGUGGGGGGGAAGCGUGUGUCGGAAACACAGUGCGUAGAGGGCAGGGGAGGGGAGGAAUAAGGUUGAAGUUGAAUCCUAGAAGUUAACUAGAGAACUGCUGGGAAAACUGUUAAGCGAGAAGGUGGGGUGGGGAGAUGGAAUUGCUGGUGUAGGGGUAAAAUCCGUAGAGAUCAGAAGGAAUACCGAGUGCGAAGGCGAGCUACUGGAACAGUAUUGACGCUGAGAUGCGAAAGCGUGGGGAGCAAACAGGAUUAGAGACCCGGGGAGUC